GCCACGGUGGUCUAGUGGUUAGAACGCUGGCCUUGUAAUCCUGGGGUCCCGGGUUCAAUUCCCGGUGGUGCUC
rnacentral:tRNA from 1 species